UACGUAGGGUGCGAGCGUUAAUCGGAAUUACUGGGCGUAAAGCGUGCGCAGGCGGUUCGUUGUGUCGGCGGUGAAAGCCCCGGGCUUAACCUGGGAACGGCCGUUGAAACUGGCGAACUGGAGUGUGGCAGAGGGGGGUGGAAUUCCGCGUGUAGCAGUGAAAUGCGUAGAGAUGCGGAGGAACACCGAUGGCGAAGGCAGCCCCCUGGGCUAACACUGACGCUCAGGCACGAAAGCGUGGGAGCAAACAGG
rnacentral:rRNA from 1 species